rnacentral:tRNA from 1 species
GGGGCGGUAGCUCAGACGGUCAGAGCAGCGGACUCAUAAUCCGUAAGACGCCGGUUCAAGUCCGGCCCGCCCCA